CAAAAUCACAACAACUUCACAGAUGUUGCCAUACGCUAAUUUGGAUCAGCUCAGUAGACUGAAAACUGAAGUUUAUAGUUGUCCAUUAUAUUAUAAAGCAAAUUCAUACAUCUAAUUUACACAGCUUAGAAAGGCAUUGUAGCAAACCGUGAUGUUAUGAAUACAAAUAGCCCUAGCAGUAGCAUGUGAUUAGGAUAACUUGUUUAGCAUCAAGUAGAAAGUUAUUCAGAAUGGGCUUUAAUGUGGUAAAUGUUUCCUGUAGUGGCUUCCAACUACCAGUACCAGAUCAGUCUGCAGUCCAGCUCUGUUCCACAAUUUCCCUUACUCUACGAUUGUACUCACGCUUGUUCUCACUAAACAUCCGAGCAGCUUCUGAGUUCGCAGGAGAAUUGGGGUUGGGGUCGCAUAGCAGUGAGUGCAAUAUAAAAUUAUCAUAAACAGCAGGUAAAUAUUUUGCAUCAUGAAAAGAUUUGGAUUAUUUUAUGGGUUGCACUAUGUAAAUUAAAAUCUUUACAGGACUCGUCUUACUUCACGUCCAUGGCGCUUAUAUACUCAAGGAAAAAAUUUCACUACCCCUGGAAAUCCUAAAGAUGUAUGUGAAAAAGGUUGUUAUCACAUUUAUGAACAUCUAAAUUCUGAAAUCCUAAGAUGUAUGCGAAAAAGGUAUAUCACUAUUGAAUGCUAAAUGUCUUGCUCUUAUUAACUUGUUUUUAUACUAUUUUUUCUUUUUUUUAAAAAAAACAAAAACAAAAACUCCCUACCAGAGAAAAAAGGGGCAGAAAAGAGAGUUCAUUGGUUUACCACCGAUGUAGGAUCAUGGCGAUGCCACAUCGACUACAUGUUGCCCCACCAAAAAAGAAAUAUCUUCUUUCCCUUAUCCCUUAUCCCUUGUACUGUAUUUUUAUUUAAGUUCUGUUAAGUCAAACAACCUGUGGACAGAGGUAGCAACAUUUAGGGGUAAGGUAUUAAACAUUUGGACUAGACAUAAUUAGAAAUUUUCACAUAAAUGGCACCUUGAAGACUUGUAACUCAAUUGAAUAUAGGAGAGAUAGAACAUUUGUUUAGUUCAGCGAAUCUGAUAAUGGCUUAAUAGUAGGUCCGAUGGUCUUUCAUUAGCUAUAAAACUGUAUUCCAUUCUCUUUGUUUGAUAAGUCUAAAAGCAAUGAUGCAAACAAAAAUGAAAACAUGUUGAAAUUUAAGAAUAAUGUCAGACCUGGCACUUUUGAAUCUUAAUUUGCUUCCAUCAUUGAAAACUAGAACAAAAGUGAUCUAGAAUUUGCACAUACGCAUGAAGUACACAACAAUAGUCCUGCAAUCUCAAUUAAUUUAUAUAAGAUACUUGAUAGUUACUACCCAAGCACUCAAAAAUUUACUAGAGAAAGGAUAAUUUUUUCUUACCUACAAGACUACAAGUGGCCUUAGUUCAUUAAUUUUGCAUUAGUAACUAGAUAAAAUUACAGAAAACACUACAUUUAACAUUCCAUUCUACCUGGAUAGAUGUGAGGAUAGCUGCAACAUCAUAUAUCGGACUCCACUGAUUUUGUAGGAUAUCCAGACAUAUACUUCCGUCUGCAUAAACUGUCGAAUUCAAAUAGUAGAAUUGGAAGUCAGAAAACAUUCUAAGGUAACUCCUGGAAUGAAGUGGAACUUAAUGUGAAAAAUUAAAAUUUAACUCCAACUUACUAUUUGGAUGGAACAUGCGAGAGACAAAUCGCACUGUUGGAGGCUUGUUUGGAUAGUCCUCGGAAAACUGAAGAGUCAACUUAAACGUACCUGAUGUGCUAAAAAAUGUUAUUGGAUAUCCAAAUUAAAAUUACUCUGCUACAAAAUAAACAGAUAAAAUUUUACUCACAAAUACAAUUAUAUAAAAUAUUAUGGAUAAACCAGACAAUAUUUACUCGCAUAAAAUACGUUACCAAAUUUCAUUAAAUAUUUCACAUAAAUAAAAAUACCCGCUGUUACAUACAAGAUGAUAUAUACACAAUGAUUAGGCAACUGGUGAGCAACUAAUUACUUCGAAAUAGAAUUGCAAUGCAGGAAUAUCCAUAUAUAUUGAAAAUAAUAUACUAAAUAACAUUGCAAUAUCAAAAUAAAAUAAAUUCAAAACAUCAAUGGAAACUUGCAGGGGAUGGUACGUGCAAAGGAGAACAAAAAGCAUCUGCACUGAUACUACAAUGGUCAUGAACAGGGGGCCGACGCAGGUUAGGGGCAGGGGGGCACCUACCCCCACUGAAAUUUCAUUGGUCAGGGGCAUACAGAUCAACUUAAAAUUUUUUUAGAAGAAUUUAUACUUAAAAAUCUGUUACCUCUAAAAAGUAAAGGCUACGACACUACUCUAAAUCAAUUGGAUGUGGACGGGGUGGACCAAUCCCACUGCAAUACUCCAUCUCCAUUAGACUUUUAGUACUUUUCACUUUUUUCUCCAUAUCAAACUUUUAGUUUUCCACUUUUCACUUUUCAGUAACAUCCGAUCGCAACAAAGCAACAUAACUCCAUAUUAGCAAUUAAUCGCAAAUCGCAAUCGCAAUCGCAUCGCAACAGAGCAGCAACGUAACUCCAAAUUGAUUCAGGUAUAUUUUAAUUUUAAUUUUAGUUUUUUAAUUUCACAAGUUUAACAAUUGCUUUAGAAAUUUUUGUAAUUGUUUAUAGAUUCUUUGUUUUUGUACUUUUAUAAAAUUAGGGCUUUUUACUUCUUAAAGCAACCCUUCAACAAUGAAGAGAACUCCAUCAAAUAAAAGUUCUUUAAGUUCAAGUAUGUGAUCUAUUCUAUUUUUACUUUCUUUAAAUUUAGUAAUGUUACUCGUUAGUAGUUUAAUUGAGAUUGUUUAUUAUUCGUGCUAAUUACACUUGACUAUUCAUAUUGUCUAUUGAUCUUGUUUUAAUGUUGAAUUAAUUUUUAAAUAUUUAAUGAUUGUUAGAUAUGGACAUACAUAAUUGAGUUACAACAACUAAACGUACAAAAUUUGAAUCUAUUCAUGAAAAUGUCCAAGCCGAAGGGACUAGUGAAGAACAUGUCACUGCUGAUAUUCACCAAGAAACACACCCGCAAAAUGUCAAUCCCCAAACCCAAGUAUUUACUUAGGGGGCCGACUCAACCAAUACCUCACAAAUUUCCUGAUACACUAAUUAAUAGAGUUGCUCGUAAAUUUAACAAGAAUUGGUACAAGAAAUAUCCAAAUUAUCUGGAAUAUAGUUUAAGUGAAGAUGCUCUAUUUUGUUUGUGUUGUUACCUGUUUAAAAUUUAUAUGGUAACCAAGGUGGCGGGGAUGCAUUUGUUGGCGAGGGAUUUAGGAAUUAGAAGAAGAUGGAUAGAUUGGAAAUACAUGUUGGAGAUCAUGGUAGUGUUCAUCGUAAAUGUGAACAGGCUUGUCGUGAUUUAAUGAAUCAACCUCAGCACAUUGAUAUCAAUCUUGCUAACAUAACUGAGCAACAAAGGAUCGAUUACUG
rnacentral:lncRNA from 1 species